rnacentral:rRNA from 1 species
GUGCCUUUUGUAGAAUGAACCGGCGAGUUACGAUUUGAUGCAAGGUUAAGCAGUAAAUGUGGAGCCGUAGCGAAAGCGAGUCUGAAUAGGGCGUUUAGUAUUUGGUCGUAGACCCGAAACCAGGUGAUCUACCCUUGGUCAGGUUGAAGUUCAGGUAACACUGAAUGGAGGACCGAACCGACUUACGUUGAAAAGUGAGCGGAUGAACUGAGGGUAGCGGAGAAAUUCCAAUCGAACCUGGAGAUAGCUGGUUCUCUCCGAAAUAGCUUUAGGGCUAGCCUCAAGUGAUGAUUAUUGGAGGUAGAGCACUGUUUGGACGAGGGGCCCCUCUCGGGUUACCGAAUUCAGACAAACUCCGAAUGCCAAUUAAUUUAACUUGGGAGUCAGAACAUGGGUGAUAAGGUCCGUGUUCGAAAGGGAAACAGCCCAGACCACCAGCUAAGGUCCCAAAAUAUAUGUUAAGUGGAAAAGGAUGUGGCGUUGCCCAGACAACUAGGAUGUUGGCUUAGAAGCAGCCAUCAUUUAAAGAGUGCGUAAUAGCUCACUAGUCGAGUGACACUGCGCCGAAAAUGUACCGGGGCUAAACAUAUUACCGAAGCUGUGGAUUGUCCUUUGGACAAUGGUAGGAGAGCGUUCUAAGGGCGUUGAAGCAUGAUCGUAAGGACAUGUGGAGCGCUUAGAAGUGAGAAUGCCGGUGUGAGUAGCGAAAGACGGGUGAGAAUCCCGUCCACCGAUUGACUAAGGUUUCCAGAGGAAGGCUCGUCCGCUCUGGGUUAGUCGGGUCCUAAGCUGAGGCCGACAGGCGUAGGCGAUGGAUAACAGGUUGAUAUUCCUGUACCACCUAUAAUCGUUUUAAUCGAUGGGGGGACGCAGUAGGAUAGGCGAAGCGUGCGAUUGGAUUGCACGUCUAAGCAGUAAGGCUGAGUAUUAGGCAAAUCCGGUACUCGUUAAGGCUGAGCUGUGAUGGGGAGAAGACAUUGUGUCUUCGAGUCGUUGAUUUCACACUGCCGAGAAAAGCCUCUAGAUAGAAAAUAGGUGCCCGUACCGCAAACCGACACAGGUAGUCAAGAUGAGAAUUCUAAGGUGAGCGAGCGAACUCUCGUUAAGGAACUCGGCAAAAUGACCCCGUAACUUCGGGAGAAGGGGUGCUCUUUAGGGUUAACGCCCAGAAGAGCCGCAGUGAAUAGGCCCAAGCGACUGUUUAUCAAAAACACAGGUCUCUGCUAAACCGUAAGGUGAUGUAUAGGGGCUGACGCCUGCCCGGUGCUGGAAGGUUAAGAGGAGUGGUUAGCUUCUGCGAAGCUACGAAUCGAAGCCCCAGUAAACGGCGGCCGUAACUAUAACGGUCCUAAGGUAGCGAAAUUCCUUGUCGGGUAAGUUCCGACCCGCACGAAAGGCGUAACGAUUUGGGCACUGUCUCAACGAGAGACUCGGUGAAAUCAUAGUACCUGUGAAGAUGCAGGUUACCCGCGACAGGACGGAAAGACCCCGUGGAGCUUUACUGUAGCCUGAUAUUGAAAUUCGGCACAGCUUGUACAGGAUAGGUAGGAGCCUUUGAAACGUGAGCGCUAGCUUACGUGGAGGCGCUGGUGGGAUACUACCCUAGCUGUGUUGGCUUUCUAACCCGCACCACUUAUCG